GGGGGGCAAUGGGCAACACCUGCAGCAUAUGGAGGUUCCCAGUCUAGGAGUCAAAUCGGAGCUGCAGCUGCCAGCCUAUGCCAGAGCCACAGCAACACCAGAUCUGAGCCCCAUCUGAGACCUAUGCCACAGCUUGCGGCAACACCAGAUCCUUAACCCACUGAGUAAGGCCAAGGAUCAAACCUGCACCAUUACGGAUACUAGUCAGAUUCUUAACCUGCUGAGCCACAACAGGUACUCCACCUUAUAAAUAUUUUAAGAGUUGUUAAUUUUUCUUCCCAGGACAGACUUUUUUCCUCAUUCUUUUUAAAACAUAGCUAUUUGCACAUUUGUUUUUGGCAAUAUUCCUUCUUUAAAAAUAUUUUUGCAUUUGAUUUUUAUUAAAGCUGUUUUUUGUCCAAAACCAUUCAAAAGUUUGGACUUCUGAAUUUCCAAUAUAAACUAUCCAUCUGGAAAACUCCAGGAAGUAUUCUCUUGAAAACAAGUAGAAGUGCUUUUUGCUUCAGCAUUUUAAAUAAAAUAUCGAAAUGGUUUCCCACUAUACAGGUAUUAUCUGCUUCAAAAAAACAAAUACUGGAGUUCCCGUCAUGGCUCAGCAGUUAACGAAUCUGACUAGCAUCCAUGAGGACACAGGUUCGAUCCCUGGCCUCACUCAGAGGGUUAUAUAGAUCCAGUGCUGCGGUGAGCUGUGGUGUAGGCUGCAGACGCAGCUUGGAUUCUGUGUUGCUGUGGCUGUGGUGUAGGCCUGCAGCUACAGCUCCAUUUUGACCCCUAGCCUGGGAAACUAUAUGCUGCAGGUGCAGCUCUAAAAAGUAAAACAAAACAAAACAAAAACUUCUUUUGUUCAGCUAACCUUAAAUCUGCUCUGUUAUCUUUAGUCUUUGAUAGUAGAUAAUAUACUCACAUUAUUAAAAUUUUUCUACACACCUGCCACAGUGUCACUAUGAAGAAACGUGUUAUAGGUCUUUGCUUAAAGAAUGGUGAUGAAUGAGGGUUUAAUAAAGAGCAGAAGUUUCUGGGAAAUGCCUGACAGAAGCAACAGCUAUUAAAAACUAAUCUUAGGAGUUCCCGUCGUGGCUCAGUGCUAACAAACCCAACUAGUAUCCACGAGGACCUGGGUUCAAUCCCUGGCCCCACCCCGUGGGUUAAGAAUCCAGCAUUGCCGUAAGCUAUAGCUCGGAUUUGGCGUUGCUGUGGCUGUGGUAUAGGCCAACCACUGUAGCUCCAAUUUGACCCUUAGCCUGGGAACCUCCAUAUGCCAUGGGUGUGGUCCUUAAAAAAGAAAAAGGCAAAAAUCUUGUUCUAUAAUCCAAUCCUGCUCUAAUUCUUCACUCCAUCACUUUCAAGCAUCAACCUUUUCUUCCAGACAAGCCUAUCUUCCUUCCUUACUGCUCUCUGAAUAGGCCUGCUCCCAUCUAAUGACAUCAUUUGCCUCCCAGGUCCUCAGUCAAAUACUGUCAGCCUAUCUCCCUAACCGCUUUCCUAAGUAUUCCCAACAUCCCUACUGCUUCUACUACCUCAAAUUUACCUAGAUUUAGAUUAGCCCUGGCUGGCUUGGUACCUCCUAUCAUUUCUGUCUAAUUCACCCUAUACACCAGUGCCAAAUUAAUCGUCUAACACGCCUCAGCAUAGCAGGCUCAUCAGAAUCCAGAUCACUUCCGGCCUAAACUAUGCCACACAUUGAGAACUGGACCAUCCUUUUCUGUGUGGGGCUUAAUCCCUUUGCCCACUCUUUCUGCCCUGUGAAAGCCCUGUUCCCUUCUCUACAUACCCCUAUCAUGCAUGUUCCAGUUUAAAUUCCUUUGAGAAGCCUUCCCGAAUAACCAAUCUCUUUUUCCCAAAUGUGCUCCACAACUAGGCCCCAUGGAAAAGUAAUCUCUCCCUUUCCUUAAAUCCUCUCGCUGUUCUUGAUACUUUAAAUAGCUACACAUAUACAUUCUAAGCUCCCCAGCAAAGAGGAGGAGGUAAGUGUAUUUACUUCACAUUUUCCUCCUGGCAGUGUCUUGCAAAACAACAGGUCCUCCCAUAUUGAGUGAGAUGUUCAUUCUCAACUCCAGGCCUAUUCUUCCUCCGCUCCCUCGUUUGAACUGAGCUUCUCUCUCCCUUAGCUUCUAUUCAACCUAACCUAUUCUUCAAGGUACAACCUAACGAAUAUCACAGUCCCAUUUAAUCUCAUUUAUCCAGUUAAUACAGCACAUAUUUGGACACCUGCAGUCAUACGCUCUUUUCAAAUGUUGCUUAAUUCUCAUGUUUAUGUUCUAAACUCAAGACUACCAUUCUCUAAAGUAUACCCACUGAACCCCCCUGACCAAAAUUCCAUCUCUUUGAAUUUAUUUAUCAUACACUAUUUUUACCCAUCAAAAAUCCUAUCAAUCCUCCAAAGCCAAAUUCAAAUGAGAUUCCCUUCAAGUCCUUCCCUAAUGCCUCUUAGAUUUACUCUAAGUUUCUAAGGAACCCUGAACCAGUAUUCUAGUACUUAGCAUAUUUCAACUCAGAUUUACUUCUGUUAUAUAUCUGUGUCUUCCAUAAUUUAAGAAUUCAAGCUGGGCUCCUGGUAUUUCAUUUUUUCUCUUAUAAGCAACUCACAGGCAUUCAAAAUAUAAUUGAUGCAUUUAAAUAAACCGUAGCACAAAAUAGUUUGAAAAAGCAUUUUCAGGAACUGAGGCAUACAAAAAAAAAAAAAAAAUCCUGUAAUACUGAAAUGGGUUGAACUGUGUCCACCCAAAGAUGUUAAGUUCUAACUUCGAGUACCUGUGAGUGUGACUAUUUGGAAAUAGGGCCUUUGUAGAUGUAAUUAAGGAUCUUGAAUUUGGAGUGAGCCCUUAAUCCAAUGACUGCUGUCUUCAUAAGAAAUAGGAGAAGAUUUGACAUAAAGGGUAAGGAUAAUAAACUGAAGGCAGAAAGAGUUCCUAUCGUGGCUCAGCGGUUAACAAAUCUGACUAGCAUUGGUGAGGACGUAGAUCCGAUCCCUGGCCUCGCUCAGUGGGUUAAGGAUCCGGCGUUGCCAUGAGCUGUGGUGUUAGGUUGCAGAUGUGGCUCAGAGCCUGUGUUGCUGUAGCUGUGGCGUAGGCCAGUGGCUACAGCUCCAAUUGGACCCCUAGUCUGGGAACCUCCACAUGCCGAGAGUGCAGCCCUAAAAAGAAAACAAAAACAGAAAAACCUGAAGGCAGAAAAUGGAAUGAAUAGCAUGGACUAGAUUCUCCACCAGUGGUUCCAAAAGGAGCCAACCUUGUCACCACCUAGAUCUCAGACUUCUAGCCUCUAGAACAAUGAGAGAUACGAAUUAGUGCUAAUUUGCUACGGCAACCCUAGGAAACCAAUACAAGUACCUCAACAGUAUAGCUUCCUAAAUACCUAUUACAGUGAACUUUUUAUCUCAAAAAAUAAGAGGAAUAAUGAAGUUCUUAACAGAUAAACAAAAUUCUUUGAGUUUUAUUUAACUAAAAUCAUAUUUUACCUAAACUUAUGAUGAGGUAGACCUUGCUCAUAAAUUACCAAUGGCUUAUCUUUUUUUUUUUUUCCUUAAUUUUAUGGCCACAAAAAAAAAACCACGAAGUUCUCGGGCCAAGGAAUGAAUCCUAUGCCACAGCUGUAGCAACGCUGGACCCUUUAACCCACUGCCCUGGGCUGCGGAUUGAACCUGAACCUCUGUAGUGACCUGAACCGCAUCAGAUUCUUUUUUUCUUUUUUAUGGCCACAGCUGUGGCAUAUGAAGUUCCUGGGGUAGGGGUCAAAAUGGAGCUGCAGCUGCAGGCCUACGCCACAGCCACAGCAACACCAGAUCUGAGCUGCACCUGCGACUUUAUACCACAGAUCAUAGCAAUGCAGGAUCCUUAACCCCCUGAGCAAGGCAGGGAUCAAACCCACUGGUUCUUAGCCCACUGAGCCACAAGGGGAAAUCCUGCAAUCAGAUUCUUAACCCACUGCACCAAAGAGGGAACUCCAGAAGUGGCUUAUUUUAAGCUGAGUUCAGGGUAACUUCUCAAUAUAAAAUGUACUGUGUUAGAAAUAUACAAUGAUAGGGAGUUCCCAUCAUGGUUCAGUGGCAACAAACCCAACUAGGCUCCAUGAGGAGGUGGGUUUGAUUCCAGACCUCACUCAGUGGGUUAAGGAUCCAGUGUUGCUGUGGUGUAGGUUGCAGAAAGGACUCAGACCUUGUGCUGUUGUGGCUGCAGCAUAGGAUGUCAGCUAUAGCUCUAAUAUGACCCCUAGCCUGGGAACUUCCACAUGCCACGAGUGCAGCCCUAAAAAAGCAAGAAAAUAAAAGUAUAUAAUCCUAAAAUAUGUAAAACUGAAGUUAUACCCAUAUAUACUAUAAUAAAAAAAUUCAUGCUACUCCUAAGGACAAUAUUAUUUUAUGAAGGUGUUUUCGCUACUAUAUAAAUCUUAAUUUUUUUCUUAAUGAUAAAGGUUCAUAUUUUCAAUGUAACUUGAUACUAGGUAUGGGUUAAUAUUUUGUUUUUUAUUUUAUUUUUUGCUUUUUAGGGCCGCAGGUGCAGCAUAUGCAAGUUCCCAGGCUAGAAGUCUAUUUGGAGCUACAGCUGCCAACCUCCACCACAGCCACAGCAACUUGGGAUCCAAGCCAUGUCUGUGACCUACACUACAGCUUUUGGCAAUGCCAAAUCCAUAACCCACUGAGUGAGGCCAGGGAUCAAACCCACAUCCUCAUGGAUACUAGUCAGAUUCGUUUCCACUGGGCAACGAGGGAAAUUCCUGUUUAUUCUCUAUGAAAAAAAUUCCCAUUGUGGCUCAGUGGGUUAAGAACCGACCAGUAUCCAUGAGGAUGCAGGUUCAAUCUCCGGUCUUGCUCAGUGGGUUAGGGAUCUACAAGCUGUGGUGUAGGUCACAGAUGAGGCUUGGACCUGGAGUUGCUGUGGCUGUGUUGUAAGCUGGCAGCUGCA
rnacentral:lncRNA from 1 species